AUACGGGGGGUGCAAGCGUUAUUCGGAUUUAUUGGGCGUAAAGGGCGCGUAGGCGGCUUGGUAAGUCAGAUGUGAAAGCCCGGGGCUCAACCCCGGAAGUGCAUUUGAAACCAUCAGGCUUGAGUAUGGGAGAGGGAAGUGGAAUUCCUGGUGUAGAGGUGAAAUUCGUAGAUAUCAGGAGGAACACCGGUGGCGAAGGCGACUUCCUGGACCAAUACUGACGCUGAGGCGCGAAGGCGUGGGGAGCAAACAGGAUUAGAAACCCUAGUAGUCC
rnacentral:rRNA from 1 species